CAGCCGCCGCGGUAAUACGUAGGUGGCAAGCGUUGUCCGGAAUUAUUGGGCGUAAAGGGCUCGCAGGCGGUUUCUUAAGUCUGAUGUGAAAGCCCCCGACUCAACUGGGGAGGGUCAUUGGAAACUGGGAAACUUGAGUGCAGAAGAGGAGAGUGGAAUUCCACGUGUAGCGGUGAAAUGCGUAGAGAUGUGGAGGAACACCAGUGGCGAAGGCGACUCUCUGGUCUGUAACUGACGCUGAGGAGCGAAAGCGUGGGGAGCGAACAGGAUUAGAUACCCGCGUAGUCCCUGUCUCUUAUAC
rnacentral:rRNA from 1 species